UUCAAAUGGCCAAAAAUGGGAAAAAAAGAUAACUUUUUGGUAACAUCGUAACACCGUAACACCGUAACACCGUAACAUCGUAACACCGUAACACCGUAACAUCGUAACACCGUAACAUCGUAACAUCGUAACAUCGUAACAGUAACACUAACAUCGUAACAGCAACAGUAACAUUCUAACAGUAACGGUAACAGUAACAUUCUAACAGUAACGGUAACAGUAACAUUCUAACAGUAACGGUAACAUCGUAACAUCGUAACAUCGAAACAGUAACAUCGUAACAGUAACAGUAACAUCGUAACAUCGUAACAGUAACAGUAACAUUCUAACAGUAACGGUUACACCGUAACAUCGUAACAGUAACUGUAACAUCGUAACAGUAACAGUAACAUCGUAACAGUAACAGUAACAUCAUAGCAGUAACAGUAACAUCGUAACAUCGUAACAGUAACAGUAACAUUCUAACAGUAACGGUAACAUCGUAACAUCGUAACAGUAACAGUAACAUCGUAACAUCGUAACAAUAACAGUAACAUUCUAACAGUAACGGUAACAUCGUAACAUCGUAACAUCGAAACAGUAAUAUCGUAACAGUAACAGUAACAUCGUAACAUCGUAACAUCGUAACAGUAACAGUAACAUUCUAACAGUAACGGUAACACUGUAACAUCGAAACAGUAACAUCAUAACAGUAACAGUAACAUCGUAACAUCGUAACAUCGUAACAUCGUAACAGUAACAGUAACAUUCUAACAAUGACGGUAACAUCGUAACAGUAACAGUAACAUUCUAAAAUGACGGUAACAUCGUAACAGUAACAGUAACAUCGAAACAUCGUAACAGUAACGGUAACACCGUAACAUCGUAACAGUAAUAGUAACAGUAACAUCGUAACAGUAACAGUAACAUUCUAUAGCGGGUUAUCUCUGCGAGGGUUAUCUCUGCGCGGGUUAUCUCUGCGAAGGUUAUCUCUGCGCGGGUUAUCUCUGCGAAAGUUAUCUCUGCGAGGGUUAUCGCUGGGUUAGGUCUGGGUUAGGUCGGGGUUGGGACUGGGUUAGGUCUGGGUUAGGUCCGGGUUAGGUCUGGGUUAGGUCUGGGUUAGGUCUGGGUUAGGUCCGGGUUAGGUCCGGGUUAGGUCCGGGUUAGGUCCGGGUUAGGUCUGGGUUAGGUCUGGAAAUGUUGAAAAUAAAUAAAUAAUAAAUAAAAUGUUGAAAUAUUUACAUAUUGUUAUAUGCGUUAACAGUGUUAUUAUGUAUUGUUGGGACACCUUAUACGUAGUUGAUAAUCUAUCUGUAAAGAUCGCAUUUAGAUAGAAACAAAGAUGUUUGAUUGAUUAAAACCUCACAAUAUUGAAUUCAAGUCGAUUAAGUGCCUUAAGAAGGAAGAACAAGUAUUAAGCCUAUUCGAUCAACAUGAUUUAAGUUGUAUUCUUAUAUGCAACGUGAAGAGGGUUAAUAGCAACAAAAAAUUGAGAGACAGCUUUCGUUUGGUUAUGUGUUAGGUUACCUUUCACGCAGCUCAAAUGUUCAUUUAUUUAUUUAAAUAGGUAGUUGGACAAAUGACAAUUUCAUUUGCUAUACACUCAUAGGUUAGGUUACAAUACGUAUUCCGUUACAUUAAAGUGAAUCUUUCACCAAUAAAUAUCACAUUGUACACUUCAACGUACUAAUACAUGCUUCUAUCAAAGGGUGUACAACGUGUCGUCUUAAGGGGAAAAAAAGAAAAUAAAUAAAUACAUCUGUAACUAACAUCCGAUAACCUCCAGGUUGUUAACCUUUUGCACUUGAGAGAUGACUGACAGUCCUAACUUAACCUCGAUGUAGUUACUCCAAAAGUGACAUGUGACUAUCUACAUUGAUGCAGUAAAUCUUAAGGUAGAUAAUGCUUACAAGGUUUAAUUUUUUUUUUAUUUCAAUGUAAUUCCAGUUAUCAAUCGUAUAAUUCUCUGACAGGUAAAGGAAACUUGAUUAUGAAAGGUUAAAUUAAUUCCAAUCGUACAACUUCCAAGCUAAUAUAUGGCUUUGCAUUUACAUUGUACAAAGUUAAGAAUGCGUUCUGCAGUUGUUGAUACAUACUACAAAAAAAAGACAAAGGAAAAGGCUCUGAAUGCAAAAGAUUAACUCACACCUACGCAACGAAACAUACAUAGUUAUACCAAUCGCAUAGAGAAACUUGUCUUAUUUCGUUUGUUAACCAAUGUAUCACACGUUUCACAGUCCGAUUUGCACACUGUAUCUCACUGACGCUACACUAACAAUUGCAGUCGUCUUCAAAAAAAAAAGAGGCACUCCUUUUGCAGGCUUCUUCUCCUCUCGUACAAGCUUCCGGGCACAAUCUUGAACACCAAAAAAAAAAAAAAACAAAA